rnacentral:rRNA from 1 species
AUGCCCGGAGACCGCCCCUCGCUGCGGCUGCACCCUGCAGGAGCUCCUGCUGGACCCUGCAAGUUUCUACCGCAUGUUUGCCGGAGCUCCUCUGCUCCGUCCGCCCUCUGCCAACAACCAGCAGCUAUCGCUGCUUCCCUGCUUGCCCUGUCCGCCGUAGUGGACGACCGUGACGCCCCACUUUCAUCUUGCACAUCCACUUGUUGUUGCGGUCGACGACAAGUUCGACCACCGACAUGGAUUAGCGCCAAGUACUGCGACAGCCCUCCAAGAUUUUGGAUCCAUCAAGUUCGACUACCUUCGUGUGUACAACUACCAUCGCCCCGAAAGACGUUGGAGUCAUCAAAUACCUCUUCGAAAAAAACGUGA